rfam:Stegodyphus mimosarum contig125152, whole genome shotgun sequence.
GCCUUCGUGGUGUAGUGGUCAGCACGCUCGACGCGUAUUCGAGAGGUCCGUGGUUCGAUUCCCGGCGAAGGCG